rnacentral:rRNA from 1 species
GCAAAUACCGGUCCACAAGCGUGGUGAAAACAAAAGUUGCAAUCGUUAGUGUGAAUUACGGGGCGGAAAGGGGGCGUAGGCGGGUCGUUAAGUCGGCCUUGAAAUCCCCGGGCUCAACCGUGGAAUGGCGUUGGAGACUGGAUAGCGAGAGUGUGGCAGAGGAUGGGGGAAUUCCCGGUGUAGCGGUGAAAUGCGUAGAGAUCGGGAGGAACAGCAGUGGCGAAGGCGGCCAUCUGGGACAACACUGACGCUGAAGCACGAAAGCGUGGGGAGCAAACAGGAUUAGAUACCCGAGUAGUC